AUUUAUAACCACUUUAUGUUUAUUGGAUUUACACUAUCAAAUUUACCUGUUAUGUAAAACAACUUAAGUUGGUGUGUAGAAGGGUCUUCUAUCACGUUGUCAUUGACUCCUGUGAUGAUAAGAUUCUUGCUCAGUUCAUGGACUUCAACUCUUGUUCUUCAAAAUUUGGAGCAAAUUCUUUGUCCAUGAACUAAAUGUUUAAAUUCCCGAACCAAAUUGCUUCAUCGAACCAAAUUGCUUCAUCGAACCAAAUUGCUUCAU
rnacentral:misc_RNA from 1 species